rnacentral:piRNA from 1 species
UGGCACGAAUGCCAUUGGCAGGCAAUGGG